AGUCUAUAGUCUGUCAAUCUAUAGUCUGUCACUCUAUAGUCUGUCAGUCUAUAUUCUGU
rnacentral:precursor_RNA from 1 species